rnacentral:rRNA from 1 species
GAUGAACGCUAGCGGGAGGCUUAACACAUGCAAGUCGAGGGGCAGCAUAGGGUAGCAAUACUCUGAUGGCGACCGGCAAACGGGUGAGUAACGCGUAUGCAACCUACCCUGUACAGGGGGAUAACCCGGAGAAAUUCGGACUAAUAUCCCGUAAUAAUAUCCGGAGGCAUCUUUGGAUAUUUAAAGUUUCGACGGUACGGGAUGGGCAUGCGUAACAUUAGCUGGUUGGUAAGGUAACGGCUUACCAAGGCUAUGAUGUUUAGGGGUCCUGAGAGGGUGGUCCCCCACACUGGUACUGAGACACGGACCAGACUCCUACGGGAGGCAGCAGUGAGGAAUAUUGGUCAAUGGGCGCAAGCCUGAACCAGCCAUCCCGCGUGCAGGAAGACGGCCCUAUGGGUUGUAAACUGCUUUUCCAGGGAGAGAAACUUACGCACGUGUUGCGUGACUGACGGUACCCUGGGAAUAAGCAUCGGCUAACUCCGUGCCAGCAGCCGCGGUAAUCCACGAGAGUA